AUACAUGUAUAAAUGAUGAUCAUGGUGAUUUUAUAUACUCAUAAUUCUAGGUGCCAGUCCAAAUACAGACAUAUGAGAAUGUGGAUAGAUCCUCGAGUUCUCUCUGAACCUUCCUUCCAUGAAGUUAUAUACUCUAUAGAAUCAGUGGGUGAGUUGAUUUAGGAGAGGUGCCAGUAUGAGCCUGGAGUAGCUUACUUGGUCAGAUCCAAAAUAUGGGUUUGGCUAAAUAUAGGGAUCUAGGAGAGAAGGUGGAAAACGCUUGCUGGGCCAAUGCCAAGUAUGAAGCAAUGCUGACCUUGGCAAUUUUUAGCAUCCAAUUUUCACCCGUUAAGAGAGGAAGGUUAAAAGGUAUAAAUGAAUGCAAAGGCCAUAAUAAAAUCAUUGUGGAAUUAAAACAUUAAGCCCAUAGGCUCUUAAUUAUAAAAUAGCAAUAUAUUGUUUACAAACGUUCUUAUAUUAGGGACUUAGGGAUUUCACAGGAUGAGGAUGCUUGUCUUAAAAACAAAGAUUUACUACCAGCAACCUGGCUGGCCCAAAAUGUGACUGGCAGCUUAUUUUAUAUUCCCCAUACACAUUAAAUGUAGAAAAUUAGUAACUAUUAGAUUUGAUUAAAUAUUAAAAUGUCAUAUUGUUCAGCCAAUGAACAAAUUGUUUUCAAGCUGCUCUGGGGGGAAUGACUAGCCUGCUACCUUUUUAUGGUGUUAGUUAUAUGGUAUUUUUCUCUUCCUCCCUUCAUAGUAAAAAUCCUUGAAGGCUUACUCUCCUUGAGAACACUUCCUCAUGGGUUUUUGAAUCUGCAGCUCUUUCCACUCCCAGUCUCGGUUCAACACACAGAGAAAUAACAAGUUUUCUGUUGUA
rnacentral:lncRNA from 1 species